GACGAACGCUGGCGGCGUGCUUAACACAUGCAAGUCGAACGGAAAGGCCCUGCUUUUGUGGGGUGCUCGAGUGGCGAACGGGUGAGUAACACGUGAGUAACCUGCCCUUGACUUUGGGAUAACUUCAGGAAACUGGGGCUAAUACCGGAUAGGAGCUCCUGCUGCAUGGUGGGGGUUGGAAAGUUUCGGCGGUUGGGGAUGGACGCGCGGCUUAUCAGCUUGUUGGUGGGGUAGUGGCUUACCAAGGCUUUGACGGGUAGCCGGCCUGAGAGGGUGACCGGCCACAUUGGGACUGAGAUACGGCCCAGACUCCUACGGGAGGCAGCAGUGGGGAAUAUUGCACAAUGGGCGGAAGCCUGAUGCAGCAACGCCGCGUGCGGGAUGACGGCCUUCGGGUUGUAAACCGCUUUCGCCUGUGACGAAGCGUGAGUGACGGUACUGGGUAAAGAAGCACCGGCUAACUACGUG
rnacentral:rRNA from 1 species